GACGAACGCUGGCGGCGUGCUUAACACAUGCAAGUCGAACGGAAAGGCCCUGCUUGCGGGGUACUCGCGUGUCGCACGGGGGAGUAACACAUGUGUGUAAUGCCCUCCACUUCGUGAGAAGACUGGGGAACAGUGGCGAUAACACGGGAUAGGAGCUCCUUAGUGAUGUGGGUGGAUGGUUUUGUUGGGUGGGGAUGGGUGCGCUGCCUAUCAGGUUGUUGGUGGGGUAAGGGCCUACCAAGGCGGCGACGGGUAGCCGGCCUGAGAGGGUGGACGGCCACAUUGGGACUGAGAUACGGCCCAGACUCCUACGGGAGGCAGCAGUGGGGAAUAUUGCACAAUGGGCGCAAGCCUGAUGCAGCGACGCCGCGUGCGGGAUGACGGCCUUCGGGUUGUAAACCGCUUUCGCCUGGGACGAAGCGUGUGGUAAGGUAACCUAGAUAAGAAGCACGGGUUAAUUACGU
rnacentral:rRNA from 1 species